UCGAGCGGUAGAGAGAAGCUUGCUUCUCUUGAGAGCGGCGGACGGGUGAGUAAUGCCUAGGAAUCUGCCUGGUAGUGGGGGAUAACGUUCGGAAACGGACGCUAAUACCGCAUACGUCCUACGGGAGAAAGCAGGGGACCUUCGGGCCUUGCGCUAUCAGAUGAGCCUAGGUCGGAUUAGCUAGUUGGUGAGGUAAUGGCUCACCAAGGCGACGAUCCGUAACUGGUCUGAGAGGAUGAUCAGUCACACUGGAACUGAGACACGGUCCAGACUCCUACGGGAGGCAGCAGUGGGGAAUAUUGGACAAUGGGCGAAAGCCUGAUCCAGCCAUGCCGCGUGUGUGAAGAAGGUCUUCGGAUUGUAAAGCACUUUAAGUUGGGAGGAAGGGUUGUAGAUUAAUACUCUGCAAUUUUGACGUUACCGACAGAAUAAGCACCGGCUAACUCUGUGCCAGCAGCCGCGGUAAUACAGAGGGUGCAAGCGUUAAUCGGAAUUACUGGGCGUAAAGCGCGCGUAGGUGGUUUGUUAAGUUGGAUGUGAAAUCCCCGGGCUCAACCUGGGAACUGCAUUCAAAACUGACUGACUAGAGUAUGGUAGAGGGUGGUGGAAUUUCCUGUGUAGCGGUGAAAUGCGUAGAUAUAGGAAGGAACACCAGUGGCGAAGGCGACCACCUGGACUAAUACUGACACUGAGGUGCGAAAGCGUGGGGAGCAAACAGGAUUAGAUACCCUGGUAGUCCACGCCGUAAACGAUGUCAACUAGCCGUUGGAAGCCUUGAGCUUUUAGUGGCGCAGCUAACGCAUUAAGUUGACCGCCUGGGGAGUACGGCCGCAAGGUUAAAACUCAAAUGAAUUGACGGGGGCCCGCACAAGCGGUGGAGCAUGUGGUUUAAUUCGAAGCAACGCGAAGAACCUUACCAGGCCUUGACAUCCAAUGAACUUUCUAGAGAUAGAUUGGUGCCUUCGGGAACAUUGAGACAGGUGCUGCAUGGCUGUCGUCAGCUCGU
rnacentral:rRNA from 1 species